rnacentral:rRNA from 1 species
GACAGAGGGUGCAAACGUUGUUCGGAUUUACUGGGCGUAAAGCGCGUGUAGGCGGCUUGGCAAGUUGAAUGUGAAAGCCCACGGCUCAACCGUGGAAGCGCAUCCAAAACUGCUUCGCUCGAGUCUCGGAGAGGAAGGUGGAAUGCUUGGUGUAGAGGUGAAAUUCGUAGAUAUCAAGCAGAACACCUGCGGCGAAGGCGACUCGCUGGACAAGUAUUGACGCUGAGGUGCGAAAGCGUGGGGAGCAAACAGG